rnacentral:tRNA from 1 species
GCCUGGGUGGCGCAGUCGGUUAAGCGUCUGACUUCAGCUCGGGUCAUGAUCUCGCGGUUCGUGGGUUCGAACCCCACGUCGGGCU